rnacentral:rRNA from 1 species
UCGGGGAAGAAAAUGACUGUACCCGAAUAAGAAGGUCCGGCUAACUUCGUGCCAGCAGCCGCGGUAAUACGAAGGGACCUAGCGUAGUUCGGAAUUACUGGGCUUAAAGAGUUCGUAGGUGGUUGAAAAAGUUAGUGGUGAAAUCCCAGAGCUUAACUCUGGAACUGCCAUUAAAACUUUUCAGCUAGAGUAUGAUAGAGGAAAGCAGAAUUUCUAGUGUAGAGGUGAAAUUCGUAGAUAUUAGAAAGAAUACCAAUUGCGAAGGCAGCUUUCUGGAUCAUUACUGACACUGAGGAACGAAAGCAUGGGUAGCGAAGAGGAUUAGAUACCCUCGUAGUCCAUGCCGUAAACGAUGUGUGUUAGACGUUGGAAAUUUAUUUUCAGUGUCGCAGCGAAAGCGAUAAACACACCGCCUGGGGAGUACGACCGCAAGGUUAAAACUCAAAUGAAUUGACGGGGACCCGCACAAGUAGUGGAGCAUGUGGUUUAAUUCGAAGAUACGCGCAGAACCUUACCAACACUUGACAUGUUCGUCGCGACUCUAAGAGAUUAGAGUUUUCGGUUCGGCCGGACGAAACACAGGUGCUGCAUGGCUGUCGUCAGCUCGUGUCGUGAGAUGUUGGGUUAAGUCCCGCAACGAGCGCAACCCUCACUUUUAGUUGCCAUCAUUAAGUUGGGCACUCUGAAAGAACUGCCAGUGAUAAGCUGGAGGAAGGUGGGGAUGACGUCAAGUCCUCAUGGCCCUUACGUGUUGGGCUACACACGUGCUACAAUGGUAUCUACAACAGGAAGCAAGACUGCGAGGUCAAGCAAAUCCUUAAAAGAUACCUCAGUUCGGAUUGCACUCUGCAACUCGAGUGCAUGAAGCUGGAAUUACUAGUAAUCGUGGAUCAGCGUGCCACGGUGAAUGCGUUCCCGGGUCUUGUACACACCGCCCGUCACACCAUGGGAGUUGGUUCUACCUUAAGGCAAGGUUUAAAACCCUUGACCACGGUAUAGUCAGCGACUGGGGUG